AGAGUAUGAUUCUGGCUCAGAACGAACGCUGGCAGCGUGGAUUAGGCAUGCAAGUCGAACGCGAAGCUGUUGAUCAAUCCUUCGGAAGAGUGAUUCAGUGGAAGGUGGCGAAAGGGUGAGUAACGCGUGGGUAACCUACCCUGAAGUUGGGGACAACUCUUCGAAAGGGGAGCUAAUACCGAAUGUGGUCCCCCCCCGCAUGUGGGGGAGACUAAAGGUGGAAUCCUUCGGGAUCUGCCGCUUCUGGAGGGGCCCGCGUGACAUCAGCUUGUUGGUGAGGUAAUGGCUCACCAAGGCUUACGUCUAGCUGGUCUGAGAGGAUGGUCAGCCACACUGGGACUGAGACACUGCCCAGACUCCUACGGGAGGCUGCAGUCGAGAAUCAUUCACAAUGCGCGAAAGCGUGAUGAUGCGACGCUGCGUGGAGGAUGAAGGCCCUAGGGUUGUAAACUCCUGUCAUGAGGGAAAAACCGCACGGAUGUAAAUAGCGUCUGUGUUUGAUGGUACCUCAAGAGGAAGCCACGGCUAACUCUGUGCCAGCAGCCGCGGUGAUACAGAGGUGGCGAGCGUUGUUCGGAUUUACUGGGCGUAAAGCGUACGUAGGUGGUUUCGUGUGUCGGGUGUGAAAGCCCACGGCCCAACCGUGGAAUUGCACUCGAAACUGCGGGACUUGAGUGCAGGAGGGGAGAGCGGAAUUCAGGGUGUAGCGGUGAAAUGCGUUGAUAUCCUGAAGAACACCGGUGGCGAAGGCGGCUCUCUGGAAUGUUACUGACACUGAGGUACGAAAGCGUGGGGAGCGAACAGGAUUAGAUACCCUGGUAGUCCACGCCGUAAACGUUGUGCACUUGGUGUGGGCGGUAUUGACCCCGUCCGUGCCGGAGCUAACGCGUUAAGUGCACCGCCUGGGGAGUACGGCCGCAAGGCUAAAACUCAAAGAAAUUGACGGGGGCCCGCACAAGCGGAGGAGCAUGUGGCUCAAUUCGAUGCAACGCGAAGAACCUUACCUGGACUUGACAUGUAACUGCAUGCCCCGGGAAACCGGGGAGGCCUUCGAGGGUGUUACACAGGUGCUGCAUGGCUGUCGUCAGUUCGUGCCGUGAGGUGUUGGGUUAAGUCCCGCAACGAACGCAACCCUUGUGUUUAGUUGCCACCGGUGGUGAUGAGCCACCGAGCACUCUAAACAGACUGCCUGUACAAGCAGGAGGAAGGUGGGGAUGACGUCAAGUCAGUAUGGCCCUUAUGUCCAGGGCUGCACACGUGCUACAAUGGCCGGUACAAUGGGAAGCAAUACCGCGAGGUGGAGCAAAUCCUCAACACCGGUCCCAGUUCGGAUUGGAGUCUGCAACUCGACUCCAUGAAGUUGGAUUCGCUAGUAAUGCCGUAUCAGCUACGACGGCGUGAAUACGUUCCCGGGUCUUGUACACACCGCCCGUCACGUCAUGGAAGUUGGCAACGCCUAAAGUCGGUGGGCUAACCCUCACGGGAGGCAGCCGCCUAAGGCGGGGUCGGCAACUGGGAC
rnacentral:rRNA from 1 species